AAGCUGAGUCCAUCCGCGUGUGCUGACCAGGCUGCUGCCCAUUUUACAGAUGGCCCCUUCGGAAGGUGCUGUGACGCAGAUAGGGCUCCUCUCCCAAGACAUUCACCGCCUCACGACUCUGCUGAGCCAGGACCAGCUGCUGAGCGACUCUCGCCUGGCCGCUCCCAGCCCUGAGGACUGGAGGUGAUUUUCUUCGUGGCCAAGAGCCCAGAGAGGCGCGCGUGGGGGCCCCGAGUCUUUGCAUCGGGGAGCUGGCAUGGCCACCCGCAGAGCCCAGACGGGCUGGCAGGACCCCUCGGACGUGUGCGCCGACAGGAGUGAGCAGAGCGGUGAACAGAUGUCCAGGAGGGGGCCCCGGGGGCCCUGCGUUUUCAACCGUGCUAGGCUCUUCACCGCAGCUUUUAUACCUUUUGUACUUUUAUACGUGGAUUGCCCCCCACUUCUGUGGGGAGGGCAGUGAGACAUCAGCACAGAUUCAAUGGCCCC